rnacentral:rRNA from 1 species
GUCUACGGCCAUACCACCCUGAACGCGCCCGAUCUUGUCUGAUCUCGGAAGCUAAGCAGGGUCGGGCCUGGUUAGUACUUGGAUGGGAGAACACAUAGCCUACCAUAAUAU